GACGAACGCUGGCGGCGUGCCUAAUACAUGCAAGUCGACCUUAGUGGCGAACGGGUGAGUAACACGUGGGUAACCUGCCCAUCAGAAGGGGAUAACACUUGGAAACAGGUGCUAAUACCGUAUACUGAUGGAUGGACCCGCCGUGAAUUAGCUAGUUGGUGAGGUAACGGCUCACCAAGGCCACGAUGCAUAGCCGACCUGAGAGGGUAAACGGCCACAUUAGGACUGAGACAAGGCCCAAACUCCUACGGGAGGCAGCAGUAGGGAAACUUAGGAAAUGGAAGAAAGUCUGAACGAGCAACGCCGCGGUAGUGAAGAAGGUUUUCGGAACGUAAAACUCUGUUGUUAGAGAAGCGGUAUCUAACCAGAAAGCCACGGCUAACUACGUGCCAGCAGCCGCGGUAAUUC
rnacentral:rRNA from 1 species